rnacentral:lncRNA from 12 species
CCUAAAUCUUUAUUACUGCUUCCUAUUUGGAAAGACACUGCCUUAAGUUGCCAAGUGGUAUGGCAGUAAACACAGAGUGCAGUGUUGAGAAAAAGUAAAGGCUUCCAUUUAGUUGACUGCUCUUGAAGGUCUGCAGUUCAGAGGUCUGAUCCUCUCAGGUGCUAAGAGACCAGUGGUGUUUCUACAGCUGAUCAGUCACAGGAUAUAUCUGCAGUUACACAAACAGCAUGAGUGAAGACGAUGACAGACACUUUCUCACCAAGGAAAGAAGACAGGGAAGGAGAUGACACAGAGUACAGGUAAAAGCAUUACCAUAAAGUAAUGUAGCCUGUGAGCCUGACUGUACUGGGCAUGAACUACCUCUACAUUUAAAGGAAAUCAUGUUUAUCUCAGUGGUGCUGCAGCAAGC